rnacentral:rRNA from 1 species
AGUGAACGCUGGCGGUAGGCCUAACACAUGCAAGUCGAACGGCAGCACAGUAAGAGCUUGCUCUUACGGGUGGCGAGUGGCGGACGGGUGAGGAAUAUAUCGGAAUCUACUUUUUCGUGGGGGAUAACGUAGGGAAACUUACGCUAAUACCGCAUACGACCUACGGUUGAAAGCAGUGGAUCUUCGGACCUUGCGCGAUUGAAUGCGCCGAUGUCGGAUUAGCUAGUUGGCGGGGUAAAGGCCCACCAAGGCGACGAUCCGUAGCUGGUCUGAGAGGAUGGUCAGCCACACGGGAACUGAGACACGGUCCAGACUCCUACGGGAGGCAGCAGUGGGGAAUGUUGGACAAAGGGCGCAAGCCUGAUCCAGCCAUACCGAGUGGGUGAAGAAGGCCUUCGGGUUGUAAAGCCCUUUUGUUGGGAAAGAAAAGCAGCAGGUUAAUACCCCGCUGUUCUGACGGUACCCAAUGAAUAAGCACCGGCUAACUUCGUG